rnacentral:rRNA from 1 species
UACGUAGGGGGCAAGCGUUGUCCGGAAUCAUUGGGCGUAAAGAGCGUGUAGGCGGCUCGAUAAGUCCGCUGUGAAAGUCCAGGGCUCAACCCUGGAAUGCCGGUGGAUACUGUCGGGCUAGAGUCCGGAAGGGGCGAGUGGAAUUCCUGGUGUAGCGGUGAAAUUCGUAGAUAUUGGGUGGAACACCGGUGGCGAAAGCGGCUCUCUGGUCCGGACCUGACGCUGAGGCGCGAAAGCGUGGGGAGCAAACAGG